CAGGGAGAUCAAGAUGAAGUCACAGACCCAGGUCUUCUUAACCUUGCUGCUUUGGGUGUCUGGUGCCUGGGCAGACAUCGUGAUGACCCAGUCUCCAUCCUCCCUGGCUGUGUCAGAGGGAGAGAAAGUCACCAUCAGCUGCAGGUCCAGUCAGAGUCUUUUAGACAGUGGCAACCAAAAGAACUACUUGGCCUGGUACCAGCAGAAACCAGGGCAAUCCCCUAAGAGGCUGAUCUACUAUGCAUCCACGAGGCACACCGGGGUCCCUGAUCGCUUCACAGGCACUGGAUCUGGGACAGAUUUCACUCUCACCAUCAGCAGUGUGCAGAAUGAAGACCUGGCAGAUUACUACUGUCAGCAGCAUCUCAGUGCUCCUCCCACAGUGCUUCAGCCUCCAACAAAAACCUACGUGUGA